AGAGUUUGAUCCUGGCUCAGGAUGAACGCUAGCGGCAGGCUUAAUACAUGCAAGUCGAGGGGCAGCAGGUCCGUAGCAAUACGGAUGCUGGCGACCGGCAAACGGGUGCGGAACACGUACACAACCUUCCUUUAAGUGGGGGAUAGCCCGGGGAAACCCGGAUUAAUACCCCUUAACAUAGUGAAGCGGCAUCGCUUUACUAUUAAAGCUCCGGCGCUUAAUGAUGGGUGUGCGGCUGAUUAGGCAGUUGGCGGGGUAACGGCCCACCAAACCUACGAUCAGUAACUGGUGUGAGAGCACGACCAGUCACACGGGCACUGAGACACGGGCCCGACUCCUACGGGAGGCAGCAGUAAGGAAUAUUGGUCAAUGGACGCAAGUCUGAACCAGCCAUGCCGCGUGGAGGAUGAAGGUCCUCUGGAUUGUAAACUUCUUUUAUCUGGGAAGAAAUUCCUGCAUUCUUGCAGGAUUGACGGUACCAGAUGAAUAAGCACCGGCUAACUCCGUGCCAGCAGCCGCGGUAAUACGGAGGGUGCAAGCGUUAUCCGGAUUCACUGGGUUUAAAGGGUGCGUAGGUGGGUAGGUAAGUCCGUGGUGAAAUCCUGCAGCUUACUGCAGACUCCGUGGAUACUAUCUGUCUUGAAUAUCGUGGAGGUUAGCGGAAUAUGUCAUGUAGCGGUGAAAUGCUUAGAUAUGACAUAGAACACCAAUUGCGAAGGCAGCUGGCUACACGAAUAUUGACACUGAUGCACGAAAGCGUGGGGAGCAAACAGGAUUAGAUACCCUAGUAGUCC
rnacentral:rRNA from 1 species